ensembl:lncRNA
UUAUUAGCAAAUCAUUUUAAUUCCGAAGCUGUCGAGAAUAUUUGCUUUCACUUGGCCGCGCGGGGCUGGGAUUGAUAAGAGAGAAACAAUUCUUGUCACUCUCUCCUUGUGGGUUGGGAAACAGGGUCACUGAGUCCUGGGUUCGGCUUUCAUAGCCUCUGGGCGUAGUCCACAAGCGCACCCAGAGGCGAAGCACUCGUUGCACUUAGUGGGUCUGCAGGCGCUCCCUCCCAUCACUUGGUGCUGUGUUCGGAAACCAGAAUUGAAACGCGUGGAACAAGCUGCAGGAAAGUCUGACGUCUGGGACAGAGGUGGCUACUCCAUCUCCGGCGUUGGCGGUCCCUCAGAUAAACCCUCAUUGUCUUCUUUUAAUUUGCCCCUGAAGUUCAUUUUUUCAGCGGCUGGUCUUUAAAAUGCUUCCAUGCAUCGGAUAGUCUUCUUUUUUUCUACUUUAUUUCUCUUUUGAGUUCCUCUACUUCCUCUAUUUUUAUCAAUGAUAUAAUUUUAUUUUGGGUAAGGAUUAUUUUUCCCCCCAGAAAUGGGGAAAAUAAUCAAAUCUCCAAUCGGUUGUUUCUUCGAACUUAAGCCUGCGUUUAUUCAUGGAUCAGAAAAUAUUUAAACCGUUAUAAACUUUAUUCAUCACUGGUCAACUUUAGAGCUAUUUCUUGUUUUUUAAAAUGGAGAUGUAACCUUGGUGUGUGUCUUAUUAUAGAUAGAUCAUGUUAAUCUUCCAUCCACGGAAAAAAGAGCAUUUACGUGUGUGAAUCUGAGUAAUUAUUCAUGUAGGGUAACUGAUUCUACCAGGCUUGAUUUUGCAUUUUCAGACAUACUUCUUUGUAUCUAGUUUGGAGGGACAUUAACAACAUUAAAAAAAGAUCUUCUGGUGUAGUGGAGGGACCUUGCUGACGUCCAACAACAGAGGAACACUCUUCUUUUUUUUUCUUUUUUUCUUUUUUGUUCUGGGUCAGCAGUCUCGUUCAGUUCUUUAUUUUAGCCUCCUGAGCCCAAGCUGUACACUCCACGUAAACCGGAGCGGUGUGGUUGGUUCUGCGACGGCUGCGUCCCGCGCGCGAUCUGACUCGCAGCGCUGGGGCAUGAGGAAGCGCAAACUGUCAUUUCUCGAGGAAAGAAAUCCCGCGUCAACGCUCGCCUGGGAAGAAUCCGGGAAAGCCGAGAAUUCCCGCGAGCUGCAGCCCACUAAGCAUCCUAGAUCGCAAGAAUCACUGUCCUUCAGAUUUUUGACAAACUGAUGUUUUGCUUUAUUUUAAAAUCUUAUCGUUUAGUUAUUGUUGCUGCUGGGAACGCGAGCCUUUAUGACGAAGACCUGCCUGGCCUUCCUGGGCAGGUCCGCUUCCUAGCCUCUCCCGCGACUGCUUUCAUUUAGGGAGGGCCAGCCUCUGGAUUCAGCUGACAUUUCCCCCCAAUCUAACAGUCAACUUCAAGGCGCUUGCUUCACACUUGGAGCUUUCCGCGCGGAAAAGUCGGUGGAAAAGCCGCGACUUGACUUUUAUCACCACACCGUGAGGGCCCAAAAGCAGGUUCACCUCUGGACUGGAGAGCAGAAGCACAGCCAGAGUUGGGGUGAUCAGCGGCUCUGUGGGUGACCACUAACUUCUCAGCGUGUCCUCCAGCUGCCACAGCGGACUGACAAGCUCCAAGCGACUGGAGGACUAGUAUGCAAAUUUCAGAUGAUUGACACCUACAGUAGAAACCAAUCACGCUGGAGUAGGUUGCUGGUUGGUUGGCAACGAUUUGACGUAAAAUUGACGUUUCAAAAAGCUAACAUCCAAUCAAGGCAACUCAUGCAAAUAAAGGAAGGAGUCACGUUACCAAGGGCCCGGGAGACUUGAGCACGCCCUCACGUGUUCAGUGGUGGAUAUUGCACAGACGCCAGCACGAUCCUCUGAAUAAAUGCAGCAAAAUGCUCAACUCUACAGCUCACCUAGGCCUUUCUCAAACUUCUGUGCCACUGGAAUAUAAAUUAUCUUUUUUAAAAAUCAAGAGUUACGUCGUGCACGUAUAUAAUGGUUUAGUCUAGAAAUCUAUGUAAUGUAACUGUGAACUUCCAGCGCAAAGAAUUUCCUUCUCCAUUCCCACCAACCCACGGAAUCUCUGUCUUUAAAUUAAUCCUUCGUGGAGGAGGCUGUUUCCUACCUUGGUUUCAAAACGACGAGAUGUUCAAAGCCUUUCCCCGGAGAAACCCACCCUAGGCACAGAUGGUCAGUAAAUUUGGCUUCUUCAGCGAAAUUCCGCAUGGCACCGCCAGAUGGCACAAGGAUCGCCUUCCACUCUCCUCACCGCCCCCACCCCUGCAAGUAAUUUAGAAAAAUUGAAAAUCG